rnacentral:lncRNA from 1 species
AAUAUAAGUGGCAAGGGAGGAAAUAACUUUGUUCCGAGUCCUGCGAGUUCUUGGGGCGGGCCUAUGGCCCCGCCUAGGAGACGGCCAGGAGUCCUUGAACCCUGGCGGCUUCCUCGGCCCGCUGGACGGCCCAGAGCUGAUCCUCGAGGGCGGAGCUGAGCAGCGCGGCUUCCCAGC